UAUUAAUUAGACAUUCCUCUGAUAUUUAACUUAAAUUAUGAUAUAAAGAUGCAUUUCACCACUAAAUGACAAAAUGCAUCCUCCAUAUCCUAUUGAUAAAAUCUCAUUGAUCCAAAAUGAUAAUGAAAAUUAAAUAAUUAUAAUUGCAAUGGCUGAUUGUAUUGGCACCUAUGAGGUCAAACCUUCCACUCCCAUCACUAUAAAGAAUAUUAGCUUUCCAUGUGCUGCAUGCUCACAUUAAUGUCAAACAAUAUGUGCCAAGCAGAAGAUUGGUGGAGAAACAUGUUUUCAAGUUGGAGGAAUGUUCUUAGCUUAAAUUGUGUCACAAAGAAGUGCUAUCAAGGUUUUGUAGAGGCCUAUGGUGCUGAUUCAUUAUUAUACAGUAAGGUAAGUAAAUGGGUGAUUGUAUUCAAGUUAGAAUGUGAGUGACAAGCCUAAGCCUGGGCAACCUGCUGUUUCAAACACACAAGGACCCAAUGGACAAAUUGCUAUAUGUGCUGUAUAAUAUGCACAUUUCUUGCAACAUAACCUGUGUGAAGUCUUGCAGGGAUAACUGUGUCACUUUCUAACCACUCCAUCUAUUAUCUUCCAUGACAAUGCCCAUUAUCUUGUGGCUGACGUUUUCUGAAACCUACUUACAAGAUGGGGUUGUGAAGUGCUGUACCACCUACCAUACCCUCCAGAUUUUAUCCUCUG
rnacentral:lncRNA from 1 species